GAUCCUGCUCAGGAUGAACGCUAGCGACAGGCUUAACACAUGCAAGUCGAGGGGCAUCAUGAGGUAGCAAUACCUUGAUGGCGACCGGCGCACGGGUGAGUAACGCGUAUGCAACCUGCCUGAUACCGGGGUAUAGCCCAUGGAAACGUGGAUUAACACCCCAUAGUACUUUUAUCCUGCCUGGGAUGGGAGUUAAAUGUUCAAGGUAUCGGAUGGGCAUGCGUCCUAUUAGUUAGUUGGG
rnacentral:rRNA from 1 species